ACGGAAGGCAGCAGUGGGGAAUAUUGCACAAUGGGCGAAAGCCUGAUGCAGCGACGCCGCGUGAGUGAAGAAGUAUCUCGGUAUGUAAAGCUCUAUCAGCAGGGAAGAAAAUGACGGUACCUGACUAAGAAGCCCCGGCUAACUACGUGCCAGCAGCCGCGGUAAUACGUAGGGGGCAAGCGUUAUCCGGAUUUACUGGGUGUAAAGGGAGCGUAGACGGUUUGGCGAGUCUGAAGUGAAAUGCGGGGGCUCAACUCCUGAACUGCUUUGGAAACUGUCGAACUAGAGUGCAGGAGAGGUAAGUGGAAUUCCUAGUGUAGCGGUGAAAUGCGUAGAUAUUAGGAGGAACACCAGUGGCGAAGGCGGCUUACUGGACUGUAACUGACGUUGAGGCUCGAAAGCGUGGGGAGCAAACAGGAUUAGAUACCCUGGUA
rnacentral:rRNA from 1 species